rnacentral:lncRNA from 1 species
UGAAAUAAUUUUUUUCCUUUACUAGCGAAGAGGUGAUUUUGCACCUCCUAUUUUGAAGUUUUUUUUCUCCUUAAUAAAAGGAAUAGGACUAAAAUUUUAGACAUACACUGUUCUUCAAUUUCACAGAAUCACAGAAUUGAAGGGGUUGGAAGGGACCUUGAAAGGUCAUCGGGUCCAACCCCCCUGCCAAAACAGGUUCCUUAGAGCAGGCUGCCCAGGUAGGGCCUAAAAUAUCUCCAGAUGAGACUCCACAACCUCCCUGGGCAGCCUGUUCCAGUGCUCCGCCACCCUCACCAUGAAGAAGUUCUUUCUCAUGUUGGUGCAGAACUUCCUACGCUCUAUCUUGUGGCCAUUACCCCUUGCCCUGUCCCCACAAACCUCUGAAAAGAGGUUGGCCAAAUCCCUCUGUCUCCCACACCGCAGGUAUUUAUACACACUGAUGAGAUCCCUUCGCAGUCUUUUUUUCUCCAGGCUGAACAGACCCAGGUCUCUCAGCCUUUCCUCAUAAGGAAGAUGCUCCAGGCCCCGUAUCAUCUUUGUGGCCCUCUGCUGGACUCUUUCCAGGAGAUCCCUGUCUUUUUUUGUACCAGGGAGCCCAGAACUGGACACAGUACUCCAGGUGCAGGACUCUACACUUGUUCUUGUUAAACCUCAUUUGGUUUCUUCCUGCCCAUCUCUCCAGCCCGUCCAGGUCUCACUGAAUGGCAGCACAGCCUUCUGGCGUGCCAGCCACUCCUCCCAGCUUUGUGUCAUCGGCGUACUUGCUGAGGGCAGACACUAUUCCCUCAUCAAGGUCGUCGAUGAAGAUGUUGAACAGGACUGGACCCAGCACCGACUCCUGGGGAACACUGCUAGUCACAGCCCUCCAGUCAGACUCUGCUUCUCCGAUCACCACCCUGUGAGCUCGGCCAGUCAGCCAGUUCUCAACCCACCUUACUGUCCACUCCUCUACCGCACACUUUCUUAGCUUUGCUAUCAGGAUGUCAUGGGAGACAGUAUCAAAAGCCUUACUGAAGUCAAGGUAGAUGACAUCCACUGCUCUCCCCUCAUCUACCCAUUUCAUUGACAUUGAGUCAUGCUUUGAAAGGUGAAAGCAAUUCUUGUUCCAAACAUAUUCCUUAAAACUCUUCCACCCCU